rnacentral:rRNA from 1 species
AGAGAAGCUUGCUUCUCUUGAGAGCGGCGGACGGGUGAGUAAAGCCUAGGAAUCUGCCUGGUAGUGGGGGAUAACGUUCGGAAACGGACGCUAAUACCGCAUACGUCCUACGGGAGAAAGCAGGGGACCUUCGGGCCUUGCGCUAUCAGAUGAGCCUAGGUCGGAUUAGCUAGUUGGUGAGGUAAUGGCUCACCAAGGCGACGAUCCGUAACUGGUCUGAGGGGAUGAUCAGUCACACUGGAACUGAGACACGGUCCAGACUCCUACGGGAGGCAGCAGUGGGGAAUAUUGGACAAUGGGCGAAAGCCUGAUCCAGCCAUGCCGCGUGUGUGAAGAAGGUCUUCGGAUUGUAAAGCACUUUAAGUUGGGAGGAAGGGCAUUAACCUAAUACGUUAGUGUUUUGACGUUACCGACAGAAUAAGCACCGGCUAACUCUGUGCCAGCAGCCGCGGUAAUACAGAG